CCUAGUCCCACCCCUUUUUUCAGUUUAAAAAAAAAAAAAAUAUAUAUAUAUAUAUAUAUAUAUAUAUAUAUAUAUAUAUAUAUAUAUAUAUAUAUUUUUUUUUUUUUUAAACUGAAAAAAGGGGUGGGACUAGG
rnacentral:miRNA from 1 species